rnacentral:rRNA from 1 species
CCUACGGGGGGCUGCAGUGAGGAAUAUUGGUCAAUGGGCGCGAGCCUGAACCAGCCAAGUCGCGUGAGGGAUGAAGGUUCUAUGGAUCGUAAACCUCUUUUAUAAGGGAAUAAAGUGUGGGACGUGUCCUAUUUUGUAUGUACCUUAUGAAUAAGGAUCGGCUAACUCCGUGCCAGCAGCCGCGGUAAUACGGAGGAUCCGAGCGUUAUCCGGAUUUAUUGGGUUUAAAGGGUGCGUAGGCGGCUUGUUAAGUCAGUGGUGAAAGUCUGUGGCUCAACCAUAAAAUUGCAGUUGAAACUGGGAGUCUUGAGUAUAUUUGAGGUAGGCGGAAUGCGUGGUGUAGCGGUGAAAUGCUUAGAUAUCACGAAGAACCCCGAUUGCGAAGGCAGCCUGCCAAGCCAUGACUGACGCUGAUGCACGAAAGCGUGGGGAUCAAACAGGAUUAGAUACCCUAGUAGUC